rnacentral:misc_RNA from 1 species
UCACCUCUCAAGCCUGGCUUGCUGUUGGACUUUAGGUCUUGCUUUAGCUAUGACCAGUCUUAAAGAUAAUGAGGCGUCUGUGAGGACCCCUGUACACUGAGCUUUUAUAGCACGUACUAGGCGGGAGUCCAGGCCCGGUCUUACCCAUUUUUACUUAAAAGGUUGACCUCGGAUCAGGUAGGAAUACCCGCUGAACUUAA